rnacentral:rRNA from 1 species
AUGCAAGUCGAACGAAGUAGCAAUACUUAGUGGCAGACGGGUGAGUAACAUGUAGGUAUCUGCCCUUUGGCCUGGAAUAACACGAGGAAACUUGUGCUAAUACCGGAUAAGUCUUUACGGAGAAAGCUUUAUGCACCAUUGGAUGAGCCUGCACUUGAUUAGUUUGUUGGUGGGGUAAUGGCCUACCAAGACUGUGAUCAAUAGCUGAUUUGAGAGGAUGAUCAGCCACAUUGGGACUGAGACACGGCCCAAACUCCUACGGGAGGCAGCAGUGGGGAAUCUUGCACAAUGGAGGAAACUCUGAUGCAGCGAUGCCGCGUGAGUGAAGAAGGCCCUUGGGUUGUAAAGCUCUUUCGUCGGGGAAGAAAAUGACUGUACCCGAAUAAGAAGGUCCGGCUAACUUCGUGCCAGCAGCCGCGGUAAUACGAAGGGACCUAGCGUAGUUCGGAAUUACUGGGCUUAAAGAGUUCGUAGGUGGUUGAAAAAGUUAGUGGUGAAAUCCCAGAGCUUAACUCUGGAACUGCCAAUAAAACUUUUCAGCUAGAGUAUGAUAGAGGAAAGCAGAAUUUCUAGUGUAGAGGUGAAAUUCGUAGAUAUUAGAAAGAAUACCAAUUGCGAAGGCAGCUUUCUGGAUCAUUACUGACACUGAGGAACGAAAGCAUGGGUAGCGAAGAGGAUUAGAUACCCUCGUAGUCCAUGCCGUAAACGAUGUGUGUUAGACGUUGGAAAUUUAUUUUCAGUGUCGCAGCGAAAGCGAUAAACACACCGCCUGGGGAGUACGACCGCAAGGUUAAAACUCAAAUGAAUUGACGGGGACCCGCACAAGUAGUGGAGCAUGUGGUUUAAUUCGAAGAUACGCGCAG